GGAAUAUUCGGCAAUGGGCGCAAGCCUGACCGAGCAACACCGCGUGUGUGAUGAAGGUCUUCGGAUUGUAAAGCACUGUGAUGGGGGACGAAGAAAGUGACGGUACCCCAAUAGCAAGCCACGGCUAACUACGUGCCAGCAGCCGCGGUAAUACGUAGGUGGCAAGCGUUGUCCGGAAUGACUGGGCGUAAAGGGUACGUAGGUGGCUAUUCAAGUUAGUAGUGAAAUCCCGGGGCUCAACUCCGGUGCUACUACUAAGACUGUUUAGCUUGAGUGCAGGAGGGGUAAGUGGAAUUCCUAGUGUAGCGGUGGAAUGCGUAGAUAUUAGGAAGAACACCGGUGGCGAAGGCGACUUACUGGACUGUAACUGACACUGAAGUACGAAAGCGUGGGGAGCAAACA
rnacentral:rRNA from 1 species